UCCCCAUGUACUCCCCAUUUAGUGAGAACCCAAGGUUGCUAUACCAAUGAAUGCGUACAUGUGUACAUGUACGCCUUUUUUUUUUUCAAGUUCUGACACAAGUUUUGCCAUGCAUCAACACAGAAACUGCUGCACCUGUAAUAUUUAAAUGUUUUCCUUUUGCAAUGAUACAAAUGUUCACCACCACAGACAUAAGGGCAGUCUUCACACAUGUCCCUGGUAUUGUUGAUAUGGAAGUGCAGUUGAAGCAGGACGGAUCCUGAGAAGGGUGGGAACAGCUUCUUCAAAAUAUUCAUAGCAAGACUGCAACCGACAGGAAACAUCCUUCAUGCUGCUGCUGAAGUGAAAGCUACAGAUGAUAGUUCUCCAUGUUUGGAAUUCAGCAUCACUGCAGUACAUGUAGAUCAGAUGCACAGCUACCUACAAUAAAGGAAGGUGCUGUACAACGAAGCAAAGAAAUUAAAAGGUAUCCUUCACACUGCUGCUGAAGUGACAAGAGAUAAAUCUAUUCUCUACGAUGUCGGUUUAAGGGAUUGGAAUGCAAUGUCACUCUGUGGUGCAUAUCAGAAGCACGGCUACCCAAGAUGAAGGAAGCUGUUGGACAGCCAAGCAAGGAAGAGAACAAGAUGACGCAGAGGAAUGUUUACCAGCAUCAUACGUGAAGGAAGUCUUUGGACAUGUUGCUGUGAUUGAUGGAAAUGCAAUUUGUACCAAGACUGGUCUACAGAAGGACUUCAUUAAAAUAUCGUGAUAUCUGAAAAAACAAAAAUGCAACCAAUAGGACAUGAGAUAUGCAUGUGUACAUGUCCCUGGAAUAUUUUUUCAAGAUUUCUGCAGAAAUUGUGAACACAUGGAACUGGGUUCGGAAGCAGUAUCCGAAGUUUUCAAAAGUCACAAGUUCCUGAUAUUUUAAACCUGUUCCCAAGUCUUCUUAAGUAUGUAUGGCAUAAAAAAUUUCACGGGUCGUGAAAUCCCCUAAGUACAAAUGCAGAUUUCUUUAUUUUCUGUUAUAAAUAGUGAGGACACUUUUAACAUUCUUCAACUCUCAAUUUCAUUGUUUAAUAUUUCGAGUGUAGUUCUUAACAAAUUCCAUAAUCAGAGUUUGUGCUGCUGUGCACUCGCAGAUACCUGUUAAAAGUAAUCAUUUGUGCAGUUACUUUCAAUAGGAAAUAAGAUGUACUUUUGAAAGAAUUGUGUGAAACUGAUGUUCGCAUUAUUUUUCUUGCUGUCUUUGAAAGCGACGUUUCUUCGUUUGUGUAUUUCGAUAGCCCUAACAGUCCCAAAUCCUCUGGUGUUAAGAUGAUUUUAUAUGGUCACUUUUGCAAAUUUGUACACCGUACUGUAGCAAUUCCUCGUUCCGGCAAUCAAAUCCCUCACAAGAAAACUGAUGUGUGCCCUCACUUGAUGAAAAUCUACAUUUUGUAUUAACUGACUGAUAAUUUCCCUACGUUUGACCUUAUUUUCGACAGGGAUGAGGCACAAAAGUACGGAGUAGAUUGAAUGAAGCAUUCGCAUUUGAAAUAACUAUUCGCUAAAUCAUUUGUUGUCCAUUAUUCUUUCAAGUAGGCAAGUGAAACGUGUUUGUAUCUGAGAUCCCAAUCAAGGUCAUCUUAUUCCAAACAGAUAUUGCAGACAUGUUGAUUUUUUUGUCUCACGUACAAAUUAAACUGAUUUGAAAGUCUUGUAUAAAGUUUGUGAAGUCUGUUGUCAGUUCAAUUUGUAUGUGCAUUAUCAAGAGUGUAGUGGCCCUUCCUUCACUUGAUAAAACUAAACAUUGUCUAUUAAUUUUGUCAAUCAUCAACACAGCUUGAAAGGGACGUGUUAUAGAUGAAAAUUGACGUCAUUAGAUGAGAAUUAAGGCACGUGACAUUAAAGGUGCAGUCUUUCUUCACAACCACAAAAAGGCAAAAAAGCCCCGUGUUCUGCCCGUUGGACAGAAGCAGUUCCUCUCGUUUUCUUCUUCUUCUGCUCAAAACCCAUUUAUUUUGUGCACAUUUUCUUCUGGACACCACUUGAGUGCUUUUACAACUGCGGAUCUUCAUCAAACUUGCACCAAUGAAGGACCCUUAUCCACGGAUGGUCCUUGAAAUACGACGUCAUGAUGAUAUCAUCAAGUGAUUUAUUAUUGAUUUUUC